GACGAACGCUGGCGGCGUGCUUAACACAUGCAAGUCGAACGGAAAGGCCCUGCUUUUGUGGGGUGCUCGAGUGGCGAACGGGUGAGUAACACGUGAGUAAUCUGCCCUUGACUUUGGGAUAACUUCAGGAAACUGGGGCUAAUACCGGAUAGGAGCUCCUGCUGCAUGGUGGGGGUUGGAAAGUUUCGGCGGUUGGGGAUGGACUCGCGGCUUAUCAGCUUGUUGGUGGGGUAGUGGCUUACCAAGGCUUUGACGGGUAGCCGGCCUGAGAGGGUGACCGGCCACAUUGGGACUGAGAUACGGCCCAGACUCCGACGGGAGGCAGCAGUGGGGAAUAUUGCACAAUGGGCGGAAGCCUGAUGCAGCAACGCCGCGUGCGGGAUGACGGCCUUCGGGUUGUAAACCGCUUUCGCCUGUGACGAAGCGUGAGUGACGGUAAUGGGUAAAGAAGCACCGGCUAACUACGUG
rnacentral:rRNA from 1 species